AAUUAAUGAACUUGAUAUAAGUAUAUAUUUUGAAAAUAUAAAAAAGAAGUAAAUCCUUCUAUUAAUUU
rnacentral:tRNA from 1 species